rfam:Brachypodium distachyon strain Bd21 chromosome 1, whole genome shotgun sequence.
UAGGUACUCCUCCGUCCCAUAUUAAGUGGCGAAAUAUUACAUGUAUCUAGACGUUUUUUGUGUAUAGAUACAUCCAUAUUUGAACAAAUUUGAGUCACUUAAUAUGGGACGGAGGGAGUAUAUG